rnacentral:rRNA from 1 species
GACGAACGCUGGCGGCGUGCUUAACACAUGCAAGUCGAGCGGAAAGGCCUCUUCGGGGGUACUCGAGCGGCGAACGGGUGAGUAACACGUGAGUAAUCUGCCUCUGGCUUCGGGAUAGCCACCGGAAACGGUGAUUAAUACCGGAUACGACACAUCACUGCAUGGUGCGUGUGUGGAAAGUUUUUUCGGCCGGGGAUGUGCUCGCGGCCUAUCAGCUUGUUGGUGGGGUAAUGGCCUACCAAGGCUUCGACGGGUAGCCGGCCUGAGAGGGUGACCGGCCAAACUGGGACUGAGACACGGCCCAGACUCCUACUGGAGGCAGGAGUGGGGAAUAUUGGACAAUGGGCGGAAGCCUGAUCCAGCAACGCCGCGUGAGGGAUGACGGCCUUCGUGUUGUAAACCUCUUUCAGCACAGACGAAGCGCAAGUGACGGUAUGUGCAGAAGAAGGACCGGCCAACUACGUGCCAGCCGCCGCGGUAAGAC